rnacentral:rRNA from 1 species
UACGAGGGGUCCAAGCGUUGCUCGGAAUCAUUGGGCGUAAAGCGAGUGUAGGUGGCUUUGUAAGUCAGGAGUGAAAGCCCUGGGCCUAACCCAGGAAGUGCUUUUGAUACUGCAAAGCUUGAAUGUGGGAGAGGAUCGUGGAAUUCCAGGUGUAGUGGUGAAAUACGUAGAUAUCAGGAGGAACACCGGUGGCGAAGGCGGCGAUCUGGCCCAACAUUGACACUGAGACUCGAAAGUGCGGGGAUCAAACAGG